rnacentral:lncRNA from 1 species
AUGUUAUUGACGAGUCGCAGUCUCCAAAAAUACCGCGUGAGGUACGUUAAGAAUAAUUUUGUUCUCUUUGAGCAAAUGGUUGGAGGACGGUCUGCCAAAAUGGGGUUGGUAAAAAUGGACAAUACUACUUUUGCGUGUCCACUUUUUGGGGGUGAUAAGAUGUCCAAAGCUGUCUUAUCAAUUAAGUCUAAAUUUUUGAAGAUAAAAAAGUCAAUAAUAUCUGGUUUAUGAUUUUGAUCAUGAGGAUAGCUAGUAGGUUUCCCGGGAGAUACAAAGUUACCUUCUUCUGUUUUAACCGCUUCAUAGAGUGAUUCUCCCUUGGGGUUGGUUAUUCUUGAUCCCCAGUAGUGGCUCAUAGCGUUAAAAUUGCCACCCACCAAAAAGAGAUCUCAGCUCACCUAGAAAUCGGAGUAAUCUGAGGUUGAUAUAACAUUACGAGGAGGAAUAUACAACGACGCUACAUUGAAAUCUCCUAAUUUAGUAUGUAUGCCGAUAACAGCAACUUGUAAAACUGAAUGAAAGAAAUGAAUUAUACAAUAGAAAAAUAACAUAACAAAGGUUUCGAAUACUCUUUCUGAGGUUAAGUGAUUACUAGUCUCGUUGUGUGGUGAAAUUGAAUACGAACUAAAGCAAUCCUGAAAACUGACAAUGAGUAAAUCUAUAAUCUUCGAUGUUUUGACAGGCACUAAAACAUUGCAGAAUUUUGCAGAGAAAAGUUAAACUGCUUAUCAUCGUCUAAUGUCUCCAAGAAUAAGUUUGUUUUUUUUUUAACAAAGAACAUAUUAUUUAUUAAUUAGGUGACAGAGUGGAACCACAAUUUAACAGAAUUGUGGCCGAAGGCCUAUGCUUACAUGCUAAACGAUAAUAAAAGAUAGAAAGUUCCUGAUUUACUUACAUAUGGUCCCCCCUUUUAGUUCCCGAAAAGAGUCUAAUUUAAGUAAAAGUUUCUUUGGAGAUUCUCGGUCUUCUUCUUCUUAUGCUUCAAUGUUCACCUCGGAAAUGUCAGUUGACUUAUCAUCGAGGGAGGAGAAAGGGGUUGGUAUCCAGGCUAUGGUUAAUGGAGUAUUAUCAUCGAUGGCUUCAUCACGUGUUCGAGAAGUUGAUGGGAUGUGAUAACCUUUAAUUUCUUCUCUAAUCAAACGUGACAUUGAUAUAGCUGGGCGUAUUUCAGCUUCAGCCAACAUUUUGUGAAUUUUACAACCGUAACGGCAGCUAGUUGAUCAGAGCAUCUACAGUUUUGUGUUUUUCCCAAAGUUCCGAUCUACAUAAAGGUAGGGGAAAAUAUAAAGUGUCCGAGAGUGAAUCCACCGUACUUUAUAGGAACCGUCUUUUAGGGUAAAAACAUGGCACUCUGGUUUCUCUCUGAUUUUUUUUAUCCUACGAAAGUCUCUUUGAAAACGUUUUUUUCGCGCUUACGCUCGUCAAAAAUGUGCAAGCCUCCCCCAACCGGAAAUUUGUCUGUGACUCUCUCUUCAAAGCGUUAAAUGUUAGUCAAACUUGCGUUUGGUGGGUAAUUUUCAGUACAAUUUGUUUUUUUUUUUUUUUUUUUGAGUUCCAAACCUUUAAAUCUUCAUGAAAAGAUGGCAGGUGAGAUCUCUACAAUGAAUUUUCAAACGUAUCCUGCUUAGUGAUAUAGAUUUACAAAAGCUGUACUAAGGUAGCAUAAUCAAUGGGUCAGAUGCACUAUUCAUACAAACGCAUUUUGAUGCUAGAUAUUUGCUUAGUAGUACAUUUUUGGCGUUUUUAAAUCUUCACAAUGCAACUUUGCAAACUUUUGCUAGAGCAAAAAUGAGAAUUAGUUUUUAUAGAAAAUGGCUCAAAAAUCACGGCAAACGCAUCGACAAAGUCUGAAAUGCUUUCUUAACUUCACAGUCGUUCUAACUCGUUAGAACGACUCUUCUAACGAAAUGUUCACCUGUCCCGUAGUAUCGUUUUUGAAGCGGGAAGCUAAAAAACUGCAAAUUUCUUACGCAGAUUGUGAAGUUAUAAGUGCAUUUAAGACUUUUCCGAUGCGCUCAUCGUGAUUUUUGAGGCAUUACCUAUGGGAAACGACUCAUAUUUUUGCUCUAGCAAAAGUUUGCAAAGGCCCAUUAUCUUGAUUUUAAGCCGAUAUGCGGCACUUGCGCACGACCACGAUUUGCGGCGAACUUGAAUUAUAACUAUAAACAAAUUCAAUAAUUUUUAGUUCAAUAAAAUAUGUAUAAAAAUACAGAAAUCUGAAAUUUUAAUCUUGAUUAUACAGCUUAUGAUUAUAGGAAAUUUAAAAGCUUAAUUAGCCUUUAAUAUGAGAUUUUAUCAUAGAUUUACUCGAAACUCUAAACUGUAAAUUUGAUAAGUUGUAAUCCUAUUUCAAUUAUUGAAUGAUUAAAUUUUAAAAAACUUUUUACUUUUUUGAUUAGUAAUUUUAUGAAAAAAAACAAGAAGACAAAUCCGACAUGAAUUUGUUGGAAAAGCGUGCCGAAUAACUGAAGUGUUGGACAUAUACUAUUUUUAUGGCAUUACUGUCUGUAUCAAUUGGUGCUUUUUGCGAAAUUUGGAAGGAAAUAUAGAUUUAUGAACGUUGAAUGUACUUCAAUUAAUUCCUAGUAAAAAUGAAAAGGUUCGUACCGUGAACGCUCUCCAACGACCAUACGUUGGAACCAACCCUCAACCCCUUGUUUUCAGGUUAUACUUUUAUCCGUGGAAUCAGAUUAGAUAUUGAGCAGACUUCCUCCUCUCGAAAUGCUUACCUUUACUCCUAUUAGUCCUCUCUUUUCCUACUGGAAAUGAAAAUAGCAAUUGAAAUCAAAGCACGAGAAAAACAAAACUAUUGCACUCCUUCUUCUACUUUCUUUAUUUCCCAGGUUCGGUAUUUUAAUAUUCUUCACUGGUAAAAAAAACCCCCCUGGUUCAAGAAUGCAGUUUCUUGUCACCGGAUUGUUGCUUGAAACAAGAGUCUGGACUCUUGUUUCAAGCGGAUUUUGAAUUGGAUCAAUGCAAAAUCCGCUUGAAACAAGAGUUCAAGACUCUUAAAUCCGGCGACAAGAAAUUGCACUCUUAAGUCAUUGCACCGCGGCAUUGGUCCAAGAGGUUUUUUUUUACCAGUGUUUACACUUCUUAGUUUUUUACCCGCGUGCCGAGCAGUUGGUAACGGAAGUAUUAUUGCAUCUAAUUCAAUGUGUAUUUAUUUUAGUUAAUUUAUUAUCUUUUUAAGCGCUCAGCCGAUAGGCAGCGCUUUUUGAUUUCGACUUGCCUCUAGAAUACUAGUAUACUAGUGCUAAUUCGUUUAAAUGGCGCACCAGCUCAUCGAUGAGACGGCUUUUUUUCCGUACAAUUUUAAAAUAAAUAAAGCUGUGAAAACCGUAUUUUAUGCUUUUUACGUAAUGCGCGGGUAGAUUCGAAUGCUUUUCUAAAAGAAAAUGCUUUAGUGGUAGAGUAAUUCUUAUCGAAAUUGAUCGUUGAAAAUUUGACGAGCGGCAUAACACUCACCUGAUGAGCUCAACGGUGGCUAUCAUUUUCGGGAAACGAAAAAACUCGUUUACAUAGACAAUAUUGCGCUCCCUUCAUUACUUUACUAAUGUGGAAGAUUGUUCCCAAGUUCUGUUGUGUACGGCGUGUAGUAGCACAAGCACCUUGCAUCAGUGUCACUCUAGGGUGCGGCUUAUACGAGAAAUUAAACAGGUUGAAUUUUGAAAUUGACAAGGGACGUUCCUAAUAGUGUAAAAACAAACGUUGUAGAACAGUUUUGCAUUUGGUCAACAUUUAGAGGUUGCGACGGGCCUUUAAAGUUGCCAAAUUUGGCUAAUUUUCGCAUUUUUUCGUCAAUUUUGGCGAAUUUUCCCAGGCCUUACUGAGAGUUCUAAUCGGUCAAUUUAUUCAUAAAUUCAUAUAUUCCGAUACCCUAGUUUCCUUUCAGAACCUUUGGAAAAUCCAGAUUCCGAAAAGAGGGGAUGUUUUUAAACGUUUUUGAGUUAAAAAGGUGCAUUUAUUUUUCGAAAAAUCGAUUUUUAAAAAAAAUUGAUAGAUUUUGGGUCAUUUUCGGCUGCAGCGGCAAUAAUUUAGUGGAGUCAACUCCACCUGUCGCCUGAGAAAAAAUAUUUUCCCUCCUUUCCGACACAAAUCAAUCGGACUGGUAUUACAUGCGUUACAUGGGCGGAAAGGGGCACUUGUCCGGAAAAACCUCGAUAUUUGGAACAGAACGGAAACUUCAAUAGGCAUGCAAUGUAUGGAUUCCCAUGUAAUUUUAGCUGCUGAAUCUGAAAAUGACCUUAUCUUUCCUCCAUCAUGCACAGAAUUUCCGGAAAAUUGAUUUUUCACCGGAAAAGCUCGAUUUUUAAGGAAAAUCCUGAUUUUUCCGGGA